rnacentral:rRNA from 1 species
UGCGCAGGCGGACUAUUAAGUCAGUGGUGAAAUCUCUCGGCUCAACCGAGAAACUGCCAUUGAAACUGAUAGCCUUGAGUGUAGUUGUAGUAGGCGGAAUAUAGCAUGUAGCGGUGAAAUGCUUAGAUAUGCUAUAGAACACCGAUCGCGGAGGCAGCUUACUAAACUAUUACUGACGCUCAUGCACGAAAGCGUGGGGAGCAAACAGGAUUAGAUACCCUGGUAGUCC